CCUACGGGAGGCAGCAGUGGGGAAUAUUGCACAAUGGGGGAAACCCUGAUGCAGCAACGCCGCGUGAGUGAAGAAGUAUUUCGGUAUGUAAAGCUCUAUCAGCAGGGAAGAAAAUGACGGUACCUGAGUAAGAAGCCCCGGCUAACUACGUGCCAGCAGCCGCGGUAAUACGUAGGGGGCAAGCGUUAUCCGGAUUUACUGGGUGUAAAGGGAGCGUAGACGGCGAUGCAAGUCUGAAGUGAAAGCCCGGGGCUCAACCCCGGGACUGCUUUGGAAACUGUAUGGCUGGAGUGCUGGAGAGGCAAGCGGAAUUCCUAGUGUAGCGGUGAAAUGCGUAGAUAUUAGGAAGAACACCAGUGGCGAAGGCGGCUUGCUGGACAGUAACUGACGUUGAGGCUCGAAAGCGUGGGGAGCAAACAGGAUUAGAUACCCCAGUAGU
rnacentral:rRNA from 1 species